rnacentral:piRNA from 1 species
CUAACAUUACCAAAGCAGAGAAAGCCUG